rnacentral:lncRNA from 1 species
GACAGCACCUGCUCCGGACGUCAGGCUCUCUAAGGACGACGUGGUUCUUCCUUGUGAGGUUGAGGCGCCCGAGAGGCGAUCAGAGCUCAGAGCCGAUUCAUUCCUGCUUGACUUUGGGUCGGUGCCUCGUGAGCGAGCUCAUUUCCCGGGGUUGCGGGUCCUUGCCUGGGGACACGCGAGUUGGAGAGCGCGUGCACCGGUCGUUCCCUUCCCGUGCUGCCCGCGUCCGGAUCGUCGGGACCCGGUUGUCUCUAGUAUGUGGAAAGGCUCGGGCUGGGAACUUCGAGGGAGGAGUUACCCCCUCGAGAUCCGGAGGACCAGAGCGGAGAGCAGGGCCACUGAGACCCUACAGGAUAUGACUCCGAGGAUCGCGUGCUGGACACGAGUGGCUACCGAGCCCGGAGAGCUUCGCGCUGCCUCCUCCUGGUCCCUUUCCAGAGGACUCUUUUCAGUCGGGGAUGCUUAUUAAAGCUCUGGCGGGAAAGAGAGAAUCACAAUUAAAGAAAUUAGUCCUACUCUGCAACGUCGGACACUUUAAUAGUAACUGGGGAGCGAUUGCGUUCAGGGAGAUCGAGGACAAGUAUCCUGGCCAGAUCCUGACAUGUUUUCCCGGUAAGAGUUCUCUGCGGAGGCCACCUUUGGAGGACUCUGUAUAUUGAUGGAAGAGGGAACGCCGGAACCUAUCCCAAAAGUAUUGUCAUGGGAAUUAGGUGUGUGUGGGUUCCAGGAAGGGCGAGGACGGACGGCGCACUACCACAGUCCGAUGAAUGUUCUCAUCACCGACCUUUGGAGUUUUUCAGCAUGUUGGAUUUUUAAACAUGUUCAGGUUGGAAAAUUGAGAGUGUAAUGUUAACAGUAAAGUUUAACCUUUUAAGCUGGUGGAGGAAGUUCAGACCACACCUGAACUGGUACCUGAGAUGACAGCACUGAAUCUGAAGACAAAGAAGGAUCAAAUUAGAACUGACUAUUAUUAGUCACUACUUCAGAAAGUCUUUUUACCUUAUUUUGGGUUUCUGGAUUAAGAGAGUAGCAGACCAUCCUCAGAAGUCUCUGGCCGCUUACAGGAAGAGGAAGUGGGAGGAUUACUGGGAGAAUUCAUGAGACCUCAACUUCUCGCAAAAGAAUAUAUUCUUUGAGAAAAGAGGAACUGUGGCUUUUUUACCCUGGCUGAGAACCGUUUAUAAUUAUAGAUGAAUGACUGUAAGUGUCAAUUUUAAGAGGCAGAAAUGGAAUCUGGUGCAAGAUAAUUCAUCUUUGAAGAAAUGCUGUUCUAAGGGUAUUAUUUUUCUAUUACUUUCUCCUCUCAAGGAACAGGAUUUGUGGGGGAGGGGUGGAGUGGACCUUUCCUCCUAAUUCCUCUCUAGUCUACUUAUUAUUCAAACAAAAAUAUAACCAUGUAUAUAUAAAUAACUUCAAAUUUUACUUAGAUUUAUAAUUAGCAUUUAAUUUUGGGAAAAUUGAUUAGGAUUGCAAGAUCAACAAAAUCAAGAAUAAUAUCUAUCCCAGAGUGGUGGUGCAAACCUUUAAUCUGCACUUGGGAAGCAGAGGCAGGAAGAUCUCUGUGAGUUCAAGGCUGGUCUGGUCUACUCCAGGCUAGCCAGUGCUAUAUGGUGAGACCUGUCUCAAAACAAAAACAAAAAGAAAAUACAACAAAGACCAACAAAAAACAAAAACAACUCUGGUUUUGAUUCGAAAGCAUUAAAUAGAUAAUCUCAAAAUUGUUGAAAACUAUCAGAAUAUAAGUAAAUCCCCUUCAUUUUAUUAACAAGGCAAAAGUUCUUUAUGUUCAUUUUGCAUGUUAUAAAUUAUAAAAUUGUAAUUAAUAUUUGGAAAAUUGUAGGGAUAACUAUUGAUUUUUCUGAGAAUUCGUUUUGUUAAUUCUGUUUCUAUUUCACAAGGUAGCUAAAAUAGUAGAAUCAGGUGUUUUCUUAGGACAGUGAAAAAUAUUCAAAAAGUUUGUGGUUAAGGGCUGGAGAUGACUAACAAAAUAGGAAUUUGGCUUGUUGAUCCCAGUAUUGGUAGGUCAAGGUGGAAGGAUAGAAACUCAAGGUCAUCCGUGGCUACAUAAAGAGUUGAAGGCUAGCCUGGCCUAGGUGAGACCCUUUCUAAAACAAAGUCAGGGGAGUAAAGAAAAGUUUGUGGGUAAUAAUUUUAUUUUUAAUUAGGAGAAAUGGAAACAUGUUAACAUUCUCUAUUCUGAUGGGGAAAUCUUUAUAACUUAUUUAUAUUCCUUACAUAUUUUAUGUCAUGUUUUAAUUUUGAUAUUCUUUAUAUCUUACCAAGUUUGUUUGAAUGCACAUAGCCUUCUUCUAUAAACAAGGAGGACUGUGGGUUGUGUGGUAUUAUUUGAUUUCUUAUCAGGAAACAUCAACACUAUCCCUUAUUCUAAUGUCUACCUUGCUGCCAUGCAUGCAAAACAGGCUCCUUUGUCUGGUAUAAAUACUACAAAGAAGUCUCUAUUUGUCUGUUAAUAAAUGUAUAAACAAAAGAGUCCUAUAUAAUAAAAAUUCAAUUUAAACCUC